rnacentral:rRNA from 1 species
UACGUAGGGUCCGAGCGUUGUCCGGAAUUACUGGGCGUAAAGAGCGCGUAGGUGGUUUGUCGCGUUGUUCGUGAAAACUCACAGCUUAACUGUGGGCGUGCGGGCGAUACGGGCAGACUUGAGUUCGGCAGGGGAGACUGGAAUUCCUGGUGUAGCGGUGGAAUGCGCAGAUAUCAGGAGGAACACCGGUGGCGAAGGCGGGUCGCUGGGCAGUAACUGACGCUGAGGAGCGAAAGCGUGGGGAGCGAACAGG